GAUGAACGCUGGCGGCGUGCCUAAUACAUGCAAGUCGAGCGAACGGACGAGAAGCUUGCUUCUCUGAUGUUAGCGGCGGACGGGUGAGUAACACGUGGAUAACCUACCUAUAAGACUGGGAUAACUUCGGGAAACCGGAGCUAAUACCGGAUGAUAUUUUGAACCGCAUGGUCCAAAAGUGAAAGACGGUCUUGCUGUCACUUAUAGAUGGAUCCGCGCUGCAUUAGCUAGUUGGUAAGGUAACGGCUUACCAAGGCAACGAUGCAUAGCCGACCUGAGAGGGUGAUCGGCCACACUGGAACUGAGACCCGGUCCAGACUCCUACGGGAGGCAGCAGUAGGGAAUCUUCCGCAAUGGGCGAAAGCCUGACGGAGCAACGCCGCGUGAGUGAUGAAGGUCUUCGGAUCGUAAAACUCUGUUAUUAGGGAAGAACAUAUGUGUAAGUAACUGUGCACAUCUUGACGGUACCUAAUCAGAAAGCCACGGCUAACUACGU
rnacentral:rRNA from 1 species